UGGCUCAGUUGGUAGAGCAUGGUGUUUGCAACGCCAGGGUUGUGGGUUAGAUUCCCAU
rfam:Salmo salar isolate Sally breed double haploid chromosome ssa07, whole genome shotgun sequence.